GGUAAAAUGAGCUGAGCUAGGCAUUGAACUGUAAAUUCAAAGACCAGAGAAUAACAUCUCUUUUUACCA
rnacentral:tRNA from 1 species